CCUACGGGUGGCUGCAGUGAGGAAUAUUGGUCAAUGGACGAGAGUCUGAACCAGCCAAGUAGCGUGAAGGAUGACUGCCCUAUGGGUUGUAAACUUCUUUUAUAUGGGAAUAAAAUGUUCCACGUGUGGGAUUUUGUAUGUACCAUAUGAAUAAGGAUCGGCUAACUCCGUGCCAGCAGCCGCGGUAAUACGGAGGAUCCGAGCGUUAUCCGGAUUUAUUGGGUUUAAAGGGAGCGUAGGUGGAUUGUUAAGUCAGUUGUGAAAGUUUUCGGCUCAACCGUAAAAUUGCAGUUGAAACUGACAGUCUUGAGUACAGUAGAGGUGGGCGGAAUUCGUGGUGUAGCGGUGAAAUGCUUAGAUAUCACGAAGAACUCCGAUUGCGAAGGCAGUUCACUGGACUGCAACUGACACUGAGGCUCGAAAGUGUGGGUAUCAAACAGGAUUAGAUACCCUUGUAGUC
rnacentral:rRNA from 1 species